UGUUGACAUUAUAGUUGUGCAGGUAAUUUGGUGACUCUAGAGAACCUCGGGCCAAUCGCACAUCCCCGUGACGGCGACUUUGCAUUCGGAUGUCUGCCCUAUCAACUUUCGGUGCCACUUUCUGUGCCUACCAUGGUGACCAUGGGUAAUGGGGAAUCAGGGUUCGAUUCCAGAGAGGGAGCCUGAGAAACGGCUACCACAUCCAAGGAAGGCAGCAGGUGUGCAAAUUAUCCACUCCCGAUGUGGGGAGGUAGUGACGACA